rnacentral:rRNA from 1 species
ACCCGCUGAACUUAAGCAUAUCAAUAGGCGGAGGAAAAGAAACCAACAGGGAUUGCCUCAGUAACGGCGAGUGAAGCGGCAACAGCUCAAAUUUGAAAUCUGGCCUUUACGGUCCGAGUUGUAAUUUGUAGAGGAUGUUUUGGGUACCGCCGCGGUUUAAAUUUCUUGGAACAGAAUGUCAGAGAGGGUGAGAGUCCCGUCUUGGAUCGCGGUAGGGCCUGUGUAAAACUCCUUCGACGAGUCGACUUGUUUGGGAAUGCAGGUCAAAAUGGGUGGUAAAUUUCAUCUAAAGCUAAAUAUUGGCCAGAGACCGAUAGCGCACAAGUAGAGUGAUCGAAAGAUGAAAAGCACUUUGAAAAGAGAGUUAAACAGUAUGUGAAAUUGUUGAAAGGGAAGCGCUGGCAACCAGACUCGUGCGCGGGGUUCCCCCUUGCUUCUGCUUGGGUUAUUUCCCCGUGUCCGGGCCAUCAUCAGUUUUGGGGGCCGGUUAAAGGUCUUGGGAAUGUAUCUACUCCUUCGGGGGUAGACUUAUAGCCCAGGGCGUCAUGCGGCCACCCGGGACUGAGGAACGCGCUUCGGCGAGGAUGAUGGCGUAAUGGUUGU